GACGAACGCUGGCGGCGUGCUUAACACAUGCAAGUCGAACGGAAAGGCCCUGCUUUUGUGGGGUGCUCGAGUGGCGAACGGGUGAGUAACACGUGAGUAACCUGCCCUUGACUUUGGGAUAACUUCAGGAAACUGGGGCUAAUAUCGGAUAGGAGCUCCUGCUGCAUGGUGGGGGUUGGAAAGUUUCGGCGGUUGGGGAUGGACUCGCGGCUUAUCAGCUUGUUGGUGGGGUAGUGGCUUACCAAGGCUUUGACGGGUAGCCGGCCUGAGAGGGUGACCGGCCACAAUGGGACUGCGAUACGGCGCAGAAUCCUACGGGAGGCAGCAGUGGGGAGUAUUGCACAGUGGGCGGAAGCCUGAUGCAGCAACGCCGCGUGCGGGAUGACGGCCUUCGGGUUGUAAACCGCUUUCGCCUGUGACGAGGCGUGAGUGACGGUAAUGGGUAAAGAAGCACCGGCUAACUACGUG
rnacentral:rRNA from 1 species